UGGUGGAUAACCUGCCGAAAGGCGGGCUAAUACAGCAUACGACGGUUUGUCUUCGGGCAGAUCGUGAAAGCAGGCCUCUAUAUAUAAGCUUGCGCUCUUGGAUGGGCCCGCGCCCCAUCAGCUAGUUGGCGAGGUAAUGGCUCACCAAGGCGACGACGGGUAGCUGGUCUGAGAGGAUGGCCAGCCACACUGGAACUGAGACACGGUCCAG
rnacentral:rRNA from 1 species